GGAAGAGAGAUGAGAGCAGAAGAAGAGAAAGAGGACAAAGAGAGAAGAAGGAAGGCUUUGCAGAUUGAAAUGGAGGUUGAUAUUCCUGGCUCUUUAAAAGAACAGAAAGUUGGAGGUUAACAGAGGCGGCCACAUGAAGACAGACUGAAGACAAGCUACUAGAAAGGAACGUUUGGAUCUACAGAACUUUAAGAGACUGAGAUUCUCCCUUUAGAAGCUUCAGAAGACCACAUCACAACUGACACCUUGGUACUGGACUGCUAGCAUCUAAAACUGUGAAUGACAAACCCUGUGUCUGGGUUGGCUACCUAGGCAUUGGCCCUGUGCUAUAGCAACCAUGGGAACCUUGUUUAGUCAUGUGUCUACUCAUUAGAUGCCCUCUCCUCACUUCUUCCCACAUAUUGUUAGCCCAAGAGGAUCAUGCUCUAGCAUCUUCACAGAGUAUGUCUGCUGAAUUGAGGGCGCAAUUUUAGCAUCUAGUGCCCUGAAACCUGAGACUAAGGGGCUGUCUUAUGCAUGCAUGCAUUCUACUGAAGGAGGCAUGGAAAGUAAUCUGGGACUGCUCCUGAGAGAGGAAAUACACCUCUGUUUAUUUGUAAAUAAUUCCUAUCAUUCAGAAGGCUUCCCACAUGUUGUUCUGCCUACACACCUUUGAGAAAUGUGUCUUUCUUUGCUUCCCCAACCUCAUCGCAUAGGGACCCAACCUUCUAGCUUUGUCCACCCUAAUUCUUCAAGCUUUAUAGCAACUGGAGAGAGAAAAGGCCUAUGUUCAAGGCUUUUUUAUUCCUGAACUACUUGGAGGAAUUACUCAUUAGGUUCUCUUCUAGAUUGCUUUUUGGGGAAUCGUAGACUGGUCGUGGGUUCUUGGCUAAUCCUCAAAGAACAUAAGGCAAAAUUCGCCAUUCUCCUGCCCCAUAAUUAUAGUAUCCAAUUACUUCUCAUGAGCUGUACAUAAAAGGAAAUUUGUAGAGUGGCUGCUUUGUAGGGAGGCUUUGGAAGCUUUAAAUUGUCCCCUGAAGCAAGGCUUAUAAAAGUGGUCUAUACAGAAGUGAAGUAGGUGGCCAUGGGCAGGAUGCAUCCAUUUUUACUGGAACUUUUCAGAGCACACAUGCUCCCUGAGGGAAGCUGUAUAAAUGUUGCCCUGUGGUUCACCUUGGGGUGGUACUCUGGAUGUUGAGUUGCUGGAGUUACUGUCAGGACAAGAGGUGGUGGUCAUGGUGGUGGUAGGGUGGUUGUAGUGAUGGUGGUGGAGAUGGUGGAGAUGGUAGAGAUGAUUGUGGUGGUGGUGGUGGUGAUGGUCCUAGAGGUAAUGGUUAUUGAGGACUCCUGCUUCUCCUUUUCAUUUGCCAGAGCCUCAAAUGGACCACUCCCAGUGCUGAUGUAACAGACCCCCCAGACCUUAACACAACUGACACCAUAAUAGAAGAACCAUUCUGGCCUUGGAAUUCUGUAUGAAGGCAGCAAUACUUGCCAAAACAAGAAUAAAGACUUCUGGGAAUGUCUCUAGAUGUACUAACCUUGAUUUUGGCUUCAGUUGUCCUACUUCUGACUAAAUGUCCUUGCUAACUGAAGUAUGUCAGCCCAGGAUGUGGUUUGGGGGCUUAAAAUCUCAUUCUGAGAAGGCUCAAGGCUGUACAUGGGUCCCCAACACCCAGUGUACUUUCUUGCCAGUUAAUAACUUUCUAUUGGCCUAAACCCAUGUCCAAAUAUUCUUCUCUGGUGGAUACCUUGCAAAGCAGAUUUUGCACGUUUAAAGGCUUCAUUCACUUGGCAUUGAAAAAUAUCAGAUGUUCUUCUAGUUAAUUGCAGUCUUGGACAUCCAUUUUUUGUAUGUUUUCAUACUCUCCUGUGGAAAUUAUUUUAAGAAGCUCUAGUGUCAUACAUAUUUAUAUACCUGUUAUUUUUUAUUGUCAACGCAUCCUGGAGCCAUCUUGGAAGAGGAAAGCUCAGCUGAGGAAUUGGCUUGAUCAGGUUGGCCUGUGGGCAUGUCCGUAGGACAUAUUUGUAGUUUGUAAUUGACUGAGGAUGUCCCUGCCCACUUUAGGAAGUGCCAUCUCCCGGUAGAUGGGUCUGGGCUAUGUAAAGAAGCUAGCUGAGCAAGCCAGGGGUAGAAAGCCAGCAAGUUCUGUUUCUCUAGGGUCCUUGCUUCUGUCCUUGUAGCCAAGUUCUCGCCUUGGGUUCCUGCCUGGACUUUCCUGCACGAUGGUCUGUAACCUGUAAGCUGAAAUAAACCCUUUCCUCUCCAAGUCAUUUUUGGUAAGGUUUACUACAGGAAUAGAAACAAAAUCAGGACAGUUUCUGAGGGGAGAGCUUUAUUCCCAGAGCUCAUGUCUUUACAAUGUUUUCAGAGUUGGGAGCAUCCACUAUCCCCUUUGGACCAUCUUUAAGUCAAAGGUUGCCUCUGUGGGGUUGUAAUGACCUUUCUGUGAACAGCUUGAAUAUAUAUCUUCCUAAACCUAUUGGAUAUACUAUAAAAGCCUAGCACUUCACAGCCUUCAGGCGCUCUGCAACAGGAAAGCUGUUUUCUCCCCGAGUUGUCAUGACAUCAGCUUCUUCAACCAGACCUCUUUGACUGCAACUUCAUUUUUCUUCUUUUCUGUCAAAUUUGCACCCACAGUGAGGAAGCAUCCACAGUGGAAAGGUUGUGAUAGCUGCUUUUCAUGCUACAGAUUAGAGUCAUCAGUUGUUGGGAGGGUCAACUGAAGAGUUGUCCUGAUGGUCUUUAUUGAUGUUGAAGAUCUGCUCUAAGUAUGGCUGUUAGCUUCUACAAGCAACCCAGACAUAAAGGGUGGGUGGGGACAGUGCUGUUCAACUUUCUUUCUUGCUGGUGAGUUGAUUACCCCAUGGCUGUUGCUGCUGCCAUUGUUGCUGAUUGCCUUGCUAACAUCAGAACAGGCAUUCCCAGGCUUCCAUUGUGGACUAAGGACCAUCGCUCUUCAGGAAACUUCUGGACUUACAACAUCAGAUUGAGACUGAUGAGCUUUUAUUCUAGUUGAAAAAGAGGGUGCAUGGCACUGAGAAAGGAGCAGAGGGAAGCGAAGGAGAGGCAAGGCGAGGCAAGAUGAAAACGGACGACUCCGCUGCUGAGCUUCUUAAAUGUGGAACUCAUUGUCUGUACUGGCUUUGGGGCAGAAAAAAGAAAAGAAAAGAAUAAAAAAAAAAAAAACAAGAGUUGAAAAA